rnacentral:rRNA from 1 species
UACGUAGGUGGCGAGCGUUUGUCCGGAUUUACUGGGCGUAAAGGGCUCGUAGGCGGCCAACUAAGUCAGACGUGAAAUCCCCAGGCUCAACCUGGGAACUGCGUCUGAUACUGGAUGCUUGAAUUCGGGAGAGGGAUGCAGAAUUCCAGGUGUGAGCGGUGAAAUGCGUAGAUAUCUGGAGGAAUACCGGUGGCGAAGGCGGCAUCCUGGACCGACAUUGACGCUGAUGAGCGAAAGCUAGGG